UACGUAGGGGGGCAAGCGUUGUCCGGAAUCAUUGGGCGUAAAGCGCGUGUAGGCGGUCCGGUAAGUCCGCUGUAAAAGUCGGGGGCUCAACCCUCGGAUGCCGGUGGAUACUGUCGGGCUUGAGUACGGAAGAGGCGAGUGGAAUUCCUGGUGUAGCGGUGAAAUGCGCAGAUAUCAGGAAGAACACCCGUGGCGAAGGCGGUUCUCUGGGACGGUACUGACGCUGAGACGCGAAAGCGUGGGGAGCGAACAGG
rnacentral:rRNA from 1 species